UAGGGAAUCUUCGGCAAUGGGGGGAACCCUGACCGAGCAACGCCGCGUGAGUGAAGAAGGUUUUCGGAUCGUAAAGCUCUGUUGUUAAGGAAGAACGAGUGUGAGAAUGGAAAGUUCAUGCUGUGACGGUACUUAACCAGAAAGGGACGGCUAACUACGUGCCAGCAGCCGCGGUAAUACGUAGGUCCCGAGCGUUGUCCGGAUUUAUUGGGCGUAAAGCGAGCGCAGGCGGUUAGAUAAGUCUGAAGUUAAAGGCAGUGGCUCAACCAUUGUAGGCUUUGGAAACUGUUUAACUUGAGUGCAGAAGGGGAGAGUGGAAUUCCAUGUGUAGCGGUGAAAUGCGUAGAUAUAUGGAGGAACACCAGUGGCGAAGGCGACUCUCUGGUCUGUAACUGACGCUGAGGUUCGAAAGCGUGGGUAGCAAACAGG
rnacentral:rRNA from 1 species